rnacentral:rRNA from 1 species
CAGCCGUAAACUAUGCGCGUUAGGUGUAUCGGUGACCACGAGUUACCGAGGUGCCGAAGGGAAACCGUGAAACGUGCCGCCUGGGAAGUACGGUCGCAAGGCUGAAACUUAAAGGAAUUGGCGGGGGAGCACCACAACAGGUGGAGCCUGCGGUUUAAUUGGACUCAACGCCGGGAAGCUCACCGGAUAGGACAGCAGAAUGAUUGCCGGGCUGAAGACCCUGCAUGACUAGCUGAGAGGUGGUGCAUGGCGUCAG